UUGCGAUUAAAAAGCUCGUAGUUGGAUCUCGGCAAGUAGAGGGCGGUAUGCUUCGUAGCAUUACUGCCCUAUUACUUGUAGUUUUGCCAGAGGUUCCUGGGUGCUCUUAAUCGAGUGUCUAGGGAUGCUGGCAGGUUUACUUUGAAAAAAUUAGAGUGCUCAAAGCAGGCUAUUACGCUUGAAUAUUCGUGCAUGGAAUAAUAGAAUAGGAAGUUGUUUCUAUUUUGUUGGUUUUCGGAAAUCGACUUAAUGAUUAAUAGGGACAGUCGGGGGCAUUUGUAUUCAAACGACAGAGGUGAAGUUCUUGGACCGUUUGAAGACAAACCACUGCGAAAGCAUUUGCCAAGAAUGUUUUCAUUAAUCAAGAACGAAAGUUAGAGGUUCGAAGGCGAUUAGAUACCGCCCUAGUUCUAACCAUAAACGAUGCCAGCUAGCGAUCUGUCGACGUUUUUUUUGUAGACUCGACAGGAAGCUUCCGGGAAACCAAAGCAUUUGGGUUCCAGGGGAAGUAUGGUUGCAAAGCUGAAACUUAAAGGAAUUGACGGAAGGGCACCACCAGGAGUGGAGCCUGUGGCUUAAUUUUGACUCACCACCGGGAAAUCUCAC
rnacentral:rRNA from 1 species